rnacentral:rRNA from 1 species
GCGGCAGGCCUAAUACAUGCAAGUCGAACGGGAAAGGCUCCUUCGGGGGCCUUGAGAGUGGCGCACGGGUGCGCAACGCGUAUGCAACCAACCCCCGACAGGCGGAUAGCCGGUGGAAACGCCGGAUAAUACGCCAUGGUUCCUGGUGAGGGCAUCCUCGACGAGGAUAAAGCCGAGAGGCGGUCGGGGACGGGCAUGCGUCCCAUUACGAUGGUAGGCGGGGUGACGGGCCCACCUAGUCCAUCGAUGGUAGGGGAUCUGAGAGGACGGUCCCCCACACUGGUACUGAGACACGGACCAGACUCCUGCGGGAGGCAGCAGUAAGGGAUAUUGGUCAAUGGGCGGAAGCCUGAACCAGCCAAUGCCGCGUGAGGGAAUGAGGCCCUACGGGGUCGUGAACCUCUUUUAUUCGGGGACAAGGACGGCGUCGUGAACGCCGUUUGAGGGUACCGAAGGAAUAAGCGUCGGCUAACUCCGUGCCAGCCGCGGC